rnacentral:tRNA from 1 species
GGAGAGAUGGCCGAGUGGUCUAAAGCGUCGGAUUGCUAAUCCGUUGUACAUUUCGUAUGUACCGAGGGUUCGAAUCCCUCUCUCUCCC